GGAUGGUCUUCGACCUAAAACAACUCCCCCAGUACUCUUGUUUUGCCUCUCUCUCAACCCGAGGAGGGUUUAGAAUCCCGAGGAUGCCUAGCUCCCUGAAAGGGUGGAAGGACAAGUGGUUUUAUGCCAUAUCUCAAGAUCCCGACAUUCCCUUUAGUCCUCGGUGGGGGGUGCCUGAUACUGCUAGGUUUUGUGGGGGUCAGGCGUAUUUUGAGUCGUUGGAGAGGCAUAGGCAAAUGCUAGAGGAGCUCGAGCCCC
rnacentral:lncRNA from 1 species